rnacentral:lncRNA from 1 species
UAAGACAGAUGGCAAUGAGCCUGCAUACACAUUCACUCGCUAUAAGACUCACUUACAACAAUUGGAGAGACUACCAAGACUGAAUGCUUAGAAGAAGGGAAGAAAAGAUUCCAAGAACUACAGUAAGAAGGAAAUAGAAAGAUAGGGGAGUUUAUAUUCCCUCUCUUUAGAUGGCAUAAGGGGAUUCUCUCUAACAAUAACAACCUUUUCUUGUUCACGUGCACCCUUGCUUGAAGCUCUGUCUCCCCCACUUCCGGGAUAGGACUAGGACUUUGAAAGCUUCAGUCAACUUAACGUGCGAAAAGAGCUUCUUCUUCCUAUUCGAGGUUUUCUUAGUUCUUCCGGGAAUAGGAAAGGUGAGAAGAUUGGAGAAUCAUAUUCUAUUCCUAAGUGACAUAGAAAUCCUACCAUUCGAGCCACUUUAUCGCCUUUUCUAAUAGAAUCAGGGGGAUUGAAGACCAUUGUUGUACUAAUCUUCUCUUUUUUUAAAUGUCGGAUUUCGAUUCCUAAGAUCAGACCGGUAAUUCCUUUAGGCCUAGGCCAAUCACUACCUUUUUCAUGUGCACAUGUCUACUUCUAUCCAUCCAUGCCAUUCCCCUAAGAGUGGUUAUCCUAUCUC